ACAUAACAUGAUGCUGUUAAAUCAAUGUAAAAAUGAAUAAAUGAGAUAAAACAACAUCAUGUAUGAGAAUAUAAAUUAGUAAUCAAACAGGAUAAAAUCACAUUUAAAAAGUUUAAAUUAAAAUUGCUGUACAUCUUAUUAAAUAAAUAGAGGCUCCACAACUCCACCUUGGCAGGAGGGUGAGCUGUCAAUCACUCCCAAUACAAGUCCAUGCUAUUAGCCCAGAAAUGUCAAACAAGAGUUCACACAAAGUACACAUAUUAGAUGGCCUACAUACAGAGAUUUAGACCAUAUUGGUGAUUUGAAAGAAAAAAAAAAAAGAUUUAAUAUUUCUAAGGGGAAGUUCAGUGGAAGUGAAUUGGAGCCAAGGCCUAGUAGCUGUAUAGUGGUAUUACAACAUGGGAUAUUUGAUAUUUGAUAUGAUGAAGCUAUCUUGUCAAGCAGAUGAAGCGUAUGACCACAAAAGUCAAAUUUGCUGAAUGAAUAUAUGGAUUUUAACAUGGCAAAGCACUCCAGGUUUCCUCUUUGAGGCUGAACAUCAUUAUCAUUUCCUUGCUGUUUUUAUAGAUAAAUAUUCCUCAAACUUUAAUACAUGUUUAUUAUUGUAAACAUGAUGGUGAAGGUGCAUUUUUUAUUAUUACUUUAAUCUAUGAGUUCACAAUGUUAUUUUUACUGUACCUACUUGCUCAGGUUAGUGGAGAACCUCUAUGUCCUAUAAGUAUGUGGAAUUUAAUUUAAUGCCACGUUCUGAAGGGUCACCCCAGAACUUAAGGACAGUGGGAAAAAAACAGAACCAAGGACAAUUCAGUUAUGGGUCGGAAAGUUCUUAUAGCGGAAAAGCUACAGGGUUGAAACAGGACUUUAUUGCCUUGUUACAGUUUAUGUUUCACAUGGGCAAAGGAGGCCCUACCUGCCCAACCGGUCCAUUGAGCUCCGGUCAGAACAAGCUGCCAAAAGCCGACCCCAGCUGCCUUCCCUUUCUGCCUCUUUCAGGAGAUUUUAACCACUCAGCUGAGGCUCCUCUCUGUGCCAAGGCUGCUCUUCAGGCUCAUCUUUUGAGCUCCAUCUUUAUUUACACACCCAGUUUCUUUGUGUACCUACCACCUUUUGGCCGAUGUUAUUCAUGCUGACACCUUACGUUAACCAAUUUGGUCUUUUAUGAAACCUGUCACAAUGAAAACUACUUUAUCCUGCCCACUGCAGUGCCACCUGCCUCUCUUGUCUCUCUCUCUCUGUGUUUUCAUAGCGUGGAGAAUCAAGAACUGCCUCAGAUGUGCUUUCUGAAGACCAUCAUGCUCUGCUUAAUAACAUCUGAGCCGUGCUGUGCUUUUGACUGUGCUACAGUAUCCAUUUUAACCUCUUUACAGAGAUCAUCCACAUAUAGAUUUGGCAAUGUAUGUUGGUUUCUCUUUGAUGUACUAGUGAACUUCCUACACCGUGUGAGAGGAAUCAGUGUAUGACAGAAAUUUAUUUUUGGUGUUUCUCUUCCUCUAAACAGUAUUUUCUCUGCCUAAUAAAAAUACGUAUUCUGGCUA